AUGAACGCUGGCGGCGUGCCUAAUACAUGCAAGUCGCGCGAACAGACGAGGAGCUUGCUCCUCUGACGUUAGCGGCGGACGGGUGAGUAACACGUGGAUAACCUACCUAUAAGACUGGGAUAACUUCGGGAAACCGGAGCUAAUACCGGAUAAUAUAUUGAACCGCAUGGUUCAAUAGUGAAAGACGGUUUUGCUGUCACUUAUAGAUGGAUCCGCGCCGCAUUAGCUAGUUGGUAAGGUAACGGCUUACUAAGGCAACGAUGCGUAGCCGACCUGAGAGGGUGAUCGGCCACACUGGAACUGAGACACGGUCCAGACUCCUACGGGAGGCAGCAGUAGGGAAUCUUCCGCAAUGGGCGAAAGCCUGACGGAGCAACGCCGCGUGAGUGAUGAAGGUCUUCGGAUCGUAAAACUCUGUUAUUAGGGAAGAACAAAUGUGUAAGUAACUAUGCACGUCUUGACGGUACCUAAUCAGAAAGCCACGGCUAACUACGUG
rnacentral:rRNA from 1 species